GUACCGUCUCAGUGCAAUAAUUUACUUGCCCUGAUAAUGAUAUUUCUUUGAGCCUUUCCAUCCCAAAAGGAACAAGUCAUUUUCAAUUCCACCAACACCAAGGACGCCACUGCUUUUCAUUUUCAAUAUCAUAACCUAACCCAACCCUACCCUUAUCUUAAUGUGUACGGUCCUCCAAUCAAUCAAUGACAAAAGACGCUUUGGCAUUAUCCCUCCCCAUUAGGGUUUCUGAUACACUGUUCACUCCCUUUCCAGGCUAGGGCUUCUGGGCGUUGGUAGAGACAGCACAACACAGAUCUGCACAAUUUUAUUCAUAUGAUUUCUAGAUCUGGCUAUGCGUACACACUUUUAUGCUUACUUUGCAGUAAUUUGUUACUAAUCAAAGUUUAUGAAAAAGCCGGAAAACGGGGUUCGUUGGUUCAAGUUUGGAAGGUGAUCCAGAAUUUUAGACUGAAAGUGUUGUACAACUCAUUUGGAACACUGAAUAAUAGUCUCAAAGAUUGGGUAAAGUAGCUGGAAAACAGUGUAUAUCCCAAUGUUAGCAGAGGGCAGGUUGGUGGGUUUUCUGUUUCUGGAAUCAUUCUAUUCUCAUGUUCUUCUCCAUGAAUAGUUUGGAGCCAAAUUUUUUCUGCUGCUGUUAAAAGAAUUAUUUUUUUUCUGCCUCUCUCAUUAUGUUUUUUUUAUUUGUUUUCAUAACAUUGAUUUGAAAUAUUUAUUAAUUUUAUCAGAUAAUUAAUCUUAUAAAAAAUAUAAUUAAAUAAUUUUUAGUAAGAUCUUACAAGCUCCAAAUCUGAAAAGUUGCGUAAAGACUGAAAAAUGAUUUAAAGAGACUAAAUUCAAUUUCACUUGACCAUCAAAAUAUUGGUGUCUCUUUCACCAAUUGAUUAUAUCAUGCAUGCCCUUAGGCUAUAGAUCUACGCAUAUAUGAAGGGUACAGUAUGUUACUAUAUAUGUAGUCUGUGUUCUAGGGCAUUCCGUAGAUUUCCCUUUAUUUUGUUUUCCUUGUCUUUUGGAUUUAGAAUCAUAAAUGUCUUUAUUUGACUAGUCAGAUUUUUUUUUUUUUUUGAAUGGCCUCUUGGGUUUGCUUCUGGAUCCUGAUUUUGGGGUACACACAAUGUCAUACAUUGCUUUCUCCCUUUUUUCUUGUUCUGGAACACGAUCACAUGUUUUUGAUUGAAAAGUGGAAGCAGUGUUAGAAAAUCUCAUGAGAAAUAACACGGCUCUGAAGGCAGCCCUGGGAGUUUUCUCCUUUUUGAAGCUUCUUGCGGCGGAGGGAGACAAAGAGCCUGAGAAUUUGGAUGGCUCCGCUGCUUGAAAUUUCUGAAUUAGGUGUCAUGGGAUAUGAACAGUAAGUACACCGGUUUCCCUAAUAUGCUUUAUCUCCUUUUUAUUUUCUUAUUUAUUCUUCUUCUUUUCUAGAGUUUUAUUAUAAGUUUUCCAUUAAACAUGACAAACAAAUGGAGAGAGAGAGAGAGAAUUCUGAAUAUUGGAGAGUGGAGACCAAUAACCCGGUGCCACCUCCCCCAUAAACCGGUUCCACCUCCCCCAUGUGCUUGUAUUAAUAAGUUACAACAUUCAUCAUAUUUUUCAUUCUUUUCAACCUUUCUGAAUUAGGUGUCAUUGGACCACUACAAAUUAAUGUUAUUUGUGGGUAAAGGAUGAUAUAUUGCUCAAACACAAAAUCUGAACUCGUAGACAUAUACUGUAUAUUCUAAGGCUCAUUUUAUUUUCUGAAUUGCGGGUGAAGUGAUAGGAUAUCCUCCAUCAUUUGAUGUUUUGAUUAAAGUCUGUGCUAAUAAUAACAUUCUUGGUUUUACUUUAAUCUGUUCGGACCGGAACUUCAUUGUUUCGUAGGGAAUUGCGAAUAAUGUACUAUUCAAACGAGAAUAUUUUUAUGAGUUA